rfam:Phaseolus vulgaris cultivar G19833 chromosome 7, whole genome shotgun sequence.
UGGAGAAGGGGAGCACGUGCAAAACCAGAUGAACUACCAGAAGUGAGUUGGAGAGAGAUGUUGCACGUGCCCUGCUUCUCCAAC